UUAUGGUUGGUCUCUUCUUGGAGAUCCAGUAUGGUUCUUACAACUUCAUUAUAUUUCUUCAACUCAUCCAGAGUCUUCAGAAUCACAGAAAUACCAGCCUCAGAAGCAAGAAUUUCAGAAUAUGUGAGUCCAUAAGUUGACCCAACUUCAUGCUGAGAUUAUGAGAACUGAGCAAUCCUAGAAUUUUCUCCAGCUCCAUAUAGAACAACUAGGUUUUAUUCAGGAAUUG
rnacentral:lncRNA from 1 species